UACGGAGGGUGCGAGUGUUAUUCGGAAUUACUGGGCGUAAAGAGAACGUAGGCGGAUAUGCAAGUCAGAUGUGAAAGCCCCGGGCUUAACCUGGGAACUGCAUUUGAUACUGCGUGUCUUGAGUGUGGUAGAGGUGGAUGGAAUUCCCGGUGUAGAGGUGAAAUUCGUAGAUAUCGGGAGGAACACCAGAGGCGAAGGCGAUCCACUGGGCCAUAACUGACGCUGAGGUUCGAAAGCGUGGGUAGCAAACAGGAUUAGAUACCCUGGUAGUCCACGCCGUAAACGAUGAGUACUAGGUGCGGGGGGUAUAAACUCCUUCCGUGUCGCAGCUAACGCGAUAAGUACUCCGCCUGGGAAGUACGGCCGCAAGGCUGAA
rnacentral:rRNA from 1 species